rnacentral:miRNA from 1 species
AGAAGGAAGGGGGAAGGAGG